ACAUCCAGAGAACUUGGCAGAGAUGCCUUGGUGCCUUCGGGACCUCUGAGACAGGUGCUGCAUGGCUGUCGUCAGCUCGUGUUGUGAAAUGUUGGGUUAAGUCCCGNGACGAGCGCAACCCCUAUCCUUUGUUGCCAGCGAUUCGGUCGGGAACUCAAAGGAGACUGCCGGUGAUAAACCGGAGGAAGGUGGGGAUGACGUCAAGUCAUCAUGGCCCUUACGAGUAGGGCUACACACGUGCUACAAUGGCGCAUACAAAGAGAAGCGACCUCGCGAGAGCAAGCGGACCUCAUAAAGUGCGUCGUAGUCCGGAUCGGAGUCUGCAACUCGACUCCGUGAAGUCGGAAUCGCUAGUAAUCGUAGAUCAGAAUGCUACGGUGAAUACGUUCCCGGGCCUUGUACACACCGCCCGUCACACCAUGGGAGUGGGUUGCAAAAGAAGUAGAUAGCUUAACCUUCGGGAGGGCGUUUACCACUUUGUGAUUCAUGACUGGGGUGAAGUCGUAACAAGGUAAGCGUAGCGAG
rnacentral:rRNA from 1 species